UGAAACCUUAACGACUCCAUGAUCGUGC
rnacentral:sRNA from 1 species